rnacentral:rRNA from 1 species
GACGAACGCUGGCGGCGUGCUUAACACAUGCAAGUCGAACGGAAAGGCCCUGCUUUUGUGGGGUGCUCGAGUGGCGAACGGGUGAGUAACACGUGAGUAACCUGCCCUUGACUUUGGGAUAACUUCAGGAAACUGGGGCUAAUACAGGAUAGGAGCUCCUGCUGCAUGGUGGGGGUUGGAAAGUUUCGGCGGUUGGGGAUGGACUCGCGGCUUAUCAGCUUGUUGGUGGGGUAGUGGAUGACCAAGGCUUUGACGGGUAGCCGGCCUGAGAGGGUGACCGGCCACAUUGGGACUGAGGGACGGCCCAGACGCCUACGGGAGGCAACAGUGGGGAGUAUGACACAGUGAGCGGAAGCCUGAUACAGCGGCGCCGCGUGCGGGAUGACGGCCUUCGGGUUGUAAACCGCUUUCGCCUGUGACGAAGCGUGAGUGACGGUAAUGGAUAAAGAAGCACCGGCUAACUACGUG